rnacentral:lncRNA from 1 species
CAGAUAACAAAACCUAGCUGUAAAUUCUUGCUUUACCGAGGUUUGGGGCGUGUAAUUAAAGCACUAGUUAUAUAUACUUACUGUUCGAUAUUCAAUAACCCCAUCCUUCGGCUGACUGAAGCAGUUGUAUAUAGUGUUUCCCAAGCUGCACGUAGGCCUUAUACAUAAGAUAAAAAUAACAUCAAAUGCAUUGUCAUUGAGUUCAUGUCAUGAUAAUAAUGCACAUAUGCAUGGGGGGAUUCAUCAGACUGUGAGCGGUUCCCAUACACUUUUUCCACUGUAUGGGGAUCAAUCUUUAAUAGUUAUAUACUAUAAUCUACAACAAUCUGAAUAAUGGUUAUAAUUUCUG